CCUACGGGAGGCUGCAGUGAGGAAUAUUGGUCAAUGGACGAGAGUCUGAACCAGCCAAGUAGCGUGAAGGAUGACUGCCCUAUGGGUUGUAAACUUCUUUUAUAUGGGAAUAAAAUGUUCCACGUGUGGGAUUUUGUAUGUACCAUAUGAAUAAGGAACGGCUAACUCCGUGACAGCAGCCGCGGUAAUACGGAGGAUCCGAGCGUUAUCCGGAUUUGUUGGGUUUAAAGGGAGCGUAUGUGGAUUGUUAAGUCAGUUGUGAAAGUUUGCGGCUCAAACGUAAAAUUGCAGUUGAAACUGGCAGUCUUGAGUACAGUAGAGGUGGGCGGAAUGCGUGGUGUAGCGGUGAAAUGCUUAGAUAUCACGAAGAACUCCGAUUGCGAAGGCAGCUCACUGGACUGCAACUGACACUGAGGCUCGAAAGUGUGGGUAUCAAACAGGAUUAGAUACCCUGGUAGUC
rnacentral:rRNA from 1 species